rnacentral:tRNA from 1 species
GGGGUUGUAGCUCAGUGGUAGAGCACUUGCUUGGCAUAUAUGAGGCACUGGGUUUGAUUCUCAGCACCA